rnacentral:rRNA from 1 species
UACGGGGGGGAGCAAGCGUUGUUCGGAUUUACUGGGCGUAAAGGGCGCGUAGGCGGUCGUGACAAGUCACUUGUGAAAUCUCCGGGCUUAACUCGGAACGGUCAAGUGAUACUGUCGGGCUAGAGUACAGAAGGGGCAACUGGAAUUCUCGGUGUAGCGGUGAAAUGCGUAGAUAUCGAGAGGAACACCUGCGGCGAAGGCGGGUUGCUGGGCUGAUACUGACGCUGAGGCGCGAAAGCCAGGGGGAGCGAAACGGG